AUUGAACGCUGGCGGCAUGCCUUACACAUGCAAGUCGAACGGCAGCAUGGAAGAGCUUGCUCUUCUGAUGGCGAGUGGCGAACGGGUGAGUAAAGCAUCGGAACGUACCGUGUAGUGGGGGAUAACGUAGCGAAAGUUACGCUAAUACCGCAUACGCACUGAGGUGGAAAGCAGGGGAUCGCAAGACCUUGCGCUAUACGAGCGGCCGAUGUCAGAUUAGCUAGUUGGUAGGGUAAAGGCCUACCAAGGCGACGAUCUGUAGCGGGUCUGAGAGGAUGAUCCGCCACAGUGGGACUUGGACACGGCCCGGACUCCUACGGGAGGCAGCAGUGGGGAAUUUUGGACAAUGGGCGAAAGCCUGAUCCAGCCAUGCCGCGUGAGUGAAGAAGGCCUUCGGGUUGUAAAGCUCUUUCGGCUGGGAAGAAAUCGCACAGGCUAAUACUCUGUGUGGAUGACGGUACCAGCACAAGAAGCACCGGCUAACUACGUGCCAGCCGCCGCCGUAA
rnacentral:rRNA from 1 species